UAGGGAAUCUUCCACAAUGGGCGAAAGCCUGAUGGAGCAACGCCGCGUGUGUGAUGAAGGCUUUCGGGUCGUAAAGCACUGUUGUAUGGGAAGAACAGCUAGAAUAGGAAAUGAUUUUAGUUUGACGGUACCAUACCAGAAAGGGACGGCUAAAUACGUGCCAGCAGCCGCGGUAAUACGUAUGUCCCGAGCGUUAUCCGGAUUUAUUGGGCGUAAAGCGAGCGCAGACGGUUUAUUAAGUCUGAUGUGAAAGCCCGGAGCUCAACUCCGGAAUGGCAUUGGAAACUGGUUAACUUGAGUGCAGUAGAGGUAAGUGGAACUCCAUGUGUAGCGGUGGAAUGCGUAGAUAUAUGGAAGAACACCAGUGGCGAAGGCGGCUUACUGGACUGCAACUGACGUUGAGGCUCGAAAGUGUGGGUAGCAAACAGGAUUAGAUACCCUGGUAGUCCACACCGUAAACGAUGAACACUAGGUGUUAGGAGGUUUCCGCCUCUUAGUGCCGAAGCUAACGCAUUAAGUGUUCCGCCUGGGGAGUACGACCGCAAGGUUG
rnacentral:rRNA from 1 species